rnacentral:lncRNA from 1 species
UUGUAACUCAAAAUUUAGUACAUUAUUAUUGCAUUGAAUAAGGAAAUGUAAGAAACUUUUUAAGAGGUGCCACAUAGCACAAUGGAGGUCUAAAAGUAAUCUAAACUUUGCUUAUAGAGAUACAUAGAGAUAUAGAUGCCAAUGUAAUAUGUUUUACAUCAUUUUAUUUGUGUUUGGACUAUAUAUAUAUAUAAUACAAAAGUUGUAUGUGUAUUAAUGGAUGGUCCCGCCUAGUUCUUUUUCCCCUGUCAUAGUAAAAUAAAAAGUCAAAAAAUUAUAAGCUAAGAGGCAAUUUAUUAUAGCUUAUUUUAAAAAAAAAAUCACUUUUUUUUAUAAAUAUAAUCACUUUUUAUUGUUUUGUGUCUGUUUGUUACAGAUUUUUAAAAUAAUCAUAAGCUAAAAAUAAUCAGAAAACAACUAAAAAUGAGAAGCUACUAAUGGUCCGUUUGUUACAUAUUAAAAAAAUAGUGAUUUUGAUGUAAAAUAAUUUAGAGAUUAGUUUUUAGAGAUUUUUAGAAAAGUUGAAUUUACUUUGUGUUUGUUUAUUAUAAUGAAAAUCACUUUUUUUAAAUAAAAUAAUCUUUAGNNNAUCUGUUUGUUACAGAUUUUUAAAAUAAUCAGAAAACAGCUAAAAAUGAGAAGCUACUAAGAGUAGCUUAAAAAUAAUAGAUUUUUUUUAGAGGAGAGAGAAAAGAAAUAUUAAAAGAAGAAAGUUGUUUGUAAUAAAAAAAUCACUUUUAUAAGUUGUAUCCAAACAAACUAAAGAUUAUUUUAUUUAAAACAUAUGAUAAACCAUUUAGUAUAGAAAUAUUGCUAUUUGUUUUUGACAAAAAUAGAAAUAUUGCUCUUAAGAGUUGGACAUUUAAUUUUUAAAAAGUCAAAUAGUUGUAUUUUAUAAUGUAAUAAUUCCACUUUUAAAUUUCUUAACAUAUAUCUUCAAGGCACGCAUUAAUAGAUCCAUAAAAUUAUAGACGAAACAAGAUAACUUUUCAACUAACCUAUUUCGCAAUAACAAAUAUUAGAAACACAUUUCCCUUCACCACAAGAAAAACACUUCCCAACUUUUGGAGAGUCACAUAACUUAUCUGGACAGUCAUAAUCAGUCUUGCAGCUACUAAUUACUAGUUCUGUGAUGUGAAAAAUAUAUAAAAGAAUGUUAAUAAAAUAUGAUAAUUUUAUUUUGUUCCAAUGAUGAUUUUUUUAAAUACGAAAACAUCAUAUUAAGAUAUUAAUAACAAUUGCACUAGUGAAUACUACAUAUUUUGGACAAUUCUAACAUUGGCACAAACCAAAAUAAAAAAUAUUUGGGUGCAUACACAUAAUUGAAAAAAAGUUAAAUGCAAAAUAUUUUAAUAACAUCACUGGAUAUUAUUUAUUCAUUUUUUGUAUUAUUUUNNNNNNNNNNNNNNNNNNNNNNNNNNNNNNNNNNNNNNAUAAUUUAUAUUUUAGAGUUGUGUCCAAAUAAAAAUACCUCACUUAUUUUACAAAUGUUUUAAUUUGAAUUUAAAUUUUCUCUUGAUAUUACAACAUCAAUCUAACUACAAACUUGAUACCUCUUAGACUAAAAGAUUAUGCAAUUUUAAUUUGUGUAUAAGAAAAGAAACAUAAAAGGGGCUUACCAAUUGGGUUAUCAGAGCUGGUUACAACAUGAAACAGUGAAAGAAAAAUGGACAUCANNAAUCAUAGUUAGUCUAUUUUUUUUAUCAAACUUUUAUUAUUAUUUGUAUUUCUUUUGAUCAUUCAUGAUAGACAAGGGAAGUACCAAAAUGAGAAAUAAUAUGUUUUAAACAAUUGCAAAAUGUUGAUUGUCAAAAAAAAAAACAAUUGCAAAAUGUUGGGUCAUGAGGGGUUCAUGGAUCAUCACAUCGGGCCUUGAACAACUACACAAGUGAGUUGGACAUCAUGCUUUUACCUAAAAUUUUAAGAUAUUAGGUUUUUGGGUCAUCUCACUUAUAAAUCAUUCAACAUUCACUAUUUGAUCUGAUGUGGGACUUAACUCACACUUGAAAUACCAAUAUCUCCCCCCUCAAGUGUGAGUUCAUCCAUUAUUUUAUGGGUAUGCUCCCCCUCGAACGGAAGCUUUUCAUCCACUUGUACUGUUGUUGCUUAGUCUCAACGGGACACGUCGCCUAAACAUCUUGUCAAGAAGACUUUAGACACAAGGAAUCGGAUCAACAAUCAUCGGCUAUGAUACCACUGUGGGGUCAUGAGGGGGCCCGGGGGAUUAUCACAUCCUUGCCCUUUCCACAAUCUGCAAAGCAAGCUUGAAACGAUUGAUAUCUAUUUGAACUUAAGGGGAUGACUAAACUUAAAGUUAGGUGGUAACUAAUUAACUAACUUAUCUCAUGUUUGUUAAGAUUAGUUUCAUUUCGUAACUACUCUAGUUAGAUUGAUCUUAGUUCUUGAGAUGUAUAUAUAAAUAUGAGGCCUAUCAUUUGUAUCAAACUGUUUUGUGAAUAAAUUAAUUUUAUAGUUUCUAUGCGCCCAUAUAUCUCGCAUCUAUUUUCUGUGUGCUUCUUCAAACCUUUCCUGCGCUCAUUUUUUAAAUCAAUGAAGCUCAAUCUUUUCCUGGGUAUGGGGGUUAAUAAAAGUUGUGUGGUUGUUAAUUUGGCAAAUGCUAAUUAAAUAGAUUUGAGAGGUUGUUAAUUUGGUAAACUAUUAUGUGGGCUAUUUGGAACUCAUGAAAUGAUUUACUCUUUUCAGAAGGUACUUUUUAUGUUGAGUGUUUGGUCGAUAAAGUGAAACUUUUAUCUUGGAAAUUAAAUAGUUUUUAGGUAAAAAUUAUGGCAUCGCGUGUUCCUUUUACAAGUGGAAUAUCCACCCUAUUUUUUGCUUAAACUAGGUCUUCGCGAGGUCUGGCUAAUUAGAGGUCUCUUGAUGGAUGAUCCUUGCCUCUAUCUGAUCUAAGGGGUUUUGGAUUUUCUUGUAAUCGGAAGUUAAAG